rnacentral:sRNA from 1 species
GGUUUCCUCUUCCUGAACACGCUCUUCAUCCAGCGCGGCCGGCACGAGACCACCUGGACCAUCCUGCGGCGCUUCGGCUACAGCGACGCCCUGGAGCUGACUGCGGACUAUCUCUCCCCUCCGCUCCGCGUGCCCCCCGGCUGCAGCACGGAGCUCAACCACCUUGGCUACCAGUUUGUGCAGAGAGUGUUUGAGAAGCACGACCAGGUGAGAGCAUGGCGAGUCCCCUGCCCCUGCCCCCGCCCCCUCCCCGGCACACACAUCACCACAUCCCUCCUUCUGCAGGACCGCGAUGGCGCCCUCUCGCCCGUGGAGCUGCAAAGCCUUUUCAGUGUGUUCCCAGCAGCCCCCUGGGGCCCCGAGCUCCCACGCACAGUCCGCACAGAGGCCGGCCGGUUGCCCCUGCACGGAUACCUCUGCCAGUGGACCCUGGUGACCUACCUGGACGUCCGGAGCUGCCUUGGACACCUAGGCUACCUGGGCUACCCCACCCUCUGUGAGCAGGACUCCCAGGCCCAUGCCAUCACAGGUAGGCACCCACCCUCCCUGGGCCUGGGCCCAGCAUCCUGGCAGCUGCCCUAACCCGUGUCUAUCCUCACAGUCACCCGUGAGAAGAGGCUGGACCAGGAGAAGGGACAGACGCAGCGGAGCGUCCUCCUGUGCAAGGUGGUGGGGGCCCGUGGAGUGGGCAAGUCUGCCUUCCUGCAGGCCUUCCUCGGCCGCGGCCUGGGGGUAAGCACCCUAGACUCCCCCACCACCCCAGGGGCUCCAGGGGCAGGGCAGGGCAAUCUGGGGGGGCACUGCAGCCAGCGAGUGUCAGGACUUCACCUCCCUCAGCACCAGGACACGAGGGAGCAGCCUCCCGGCUACGCCAUCGACACGGUGCAGGUCAACGGGCAGGAGAAGUACUUGAUCCUCUGUGAGGUGGGCACAGAUGGUCUGCUGGCCACAUCGCUGGACGCCACCUGUGACGUUGCCUGCUUGAUGUUUGAUGGCAGUGACCCAAAGUCCUUUGCACAUUGUGCCAGCGUCUACAAGCACCAUUACAUGGACGGGCAGACCCCCUGCCUCUUUGUCUCCUCCAAGGCCGACCUGCCCGAAGGUGUUGUGGUGUCUGGCCCAUCACCAGCCGAGUUUUGCCGCAAGCACCGGCUACCCGCUCCCGUGC